UCAGCGACGGCGCCGGGGCCGGGGCCGGUGCGCUUGGGAUGGCGAGGGGGGGUAGGGAGAGAGAGAGAGGGAGCGCCGGCGACCGGAGGUCGUAGCCGGCGGUCUGGUCAGCGCCGGCGACCGUAGGUCGGAGCCGGCGGCCGGAUCGGGUCGGCGCCGAAGGUCAGCGACGGCGCCGGGAACCGGGGGCCGGUAAGCCGGUGGUGGAGAGAGGGUCGGGAGAGAGAGGGAGGGGGAGAGAGCCGUUGGGAGAGAGAGAGAGGGUUUGGGAGAGAGAGAGAGGGUCGGGAGAGCGAGAGAGAGAGAGAGCCGUUCUCAAAUUCUUCCUUAAUCUCGAAGAUAAAAGAAUUAUGAGUUCCAAUAAUUUUGCUUUGCAAGUAUGAUGUGGAGGAACAAUGUCCUAUACAAGCUAUGUCUAUCAGGUUUCAGUACUUAUCCUCGUGGUGUAUAUGGAUGUCUAUUUGUCUCCUUCUACUAGUUGUUUCAAUCCCAUGGAAGAGCCUUCAAGUUCAAAUGUAGAGUUAAAUAAAGAGACCUAACAGAGUAUAAUCCAGCUAGUUCAUUACCUGAUAGUUACAAAGUCAACUAACCAAGAGAAACAAAAAUAAAAAAAAAAAAAUGUAGUACCUCAAAGUAAAUGAACCUUCAAAGUAAAUUUGGUUGUUGUGACAUUUGUGGUAGUUCUAUGUUCUUUUGGGCUCUACAACUUGAAGUUGAUUGUUUUAGUUCACCAAAAUUGAUUUUAUUAUUUUAAUUAGUUGAGUUGAUACUGUGUGGUGGUUAAUGAAUUUACGCACACUUCUCUUUGGGUUGUGUGGCUCAUUGAUGAAUGUAGGUAGCAUAAUAGGUCUUUUGUCUUAGAUAUGAAUCAGAUUAGAGUGUAGCAUUUGGUUGUUUGAGUGUAGCAUUUGGUUGUAGUGCUGUCUAAGGAACCCAUAAGAAUGUGAGAUUUAUGCUUACAUGAUAUAGUUCCUCUUUCUUCACAAUUACCGCGUAUCUCUAAUAUUGUUUUGAUUUAAGACAAUCGUAUCACUAUUGAUGUGUGACAUACUUUGUAUAGUAGUCUAUUGCAGUUAGCUUAAGCUGGUUAGUUUAUUUCGGGAUUGACAAAAGAGUUCGUCAAGCUUCUUAUUUGUGAUUCUUUUGUAAUAUGUGGAUUGUCUAGAGGGAUUUGCCUGUAAGUAUGUUGUUUUAGGCUUGCAGUGUUGCUUCUUUUUUCUUUCAAUGAUGAAAAUUGUAUAUAUAAACAUAAUUGAAAAGUUCAGCGACAUGUAUGGUGCAACAACAAAAAGUAAAUUGUUACAAAAUAAUUGGAGAACAUAUAACAAAUAUUUUGUAUAGAUUAUCAAUCCUAAUGUCUCCUCCAUAUACAGGAAGGACGCUAUGAAUACAAGAACAUCGUUGAUGAUGAAUGGAUAUGCAGUGAGUUUCACUUGAUUGUACUGUGAGGUGCCAUACCUUUCUCCUGUCAUUUCGUCCUGCCUAUGUCCUUUGUUAUUCCAACAAAGGUCUUUCAGAAACAGCUUCUCGACCUGACAGGGUAGGGGUAAGGAAAUUUUUUUACAGGUCUCACUUAAGCAUUCUGGAUGGACGUGAAUGUGGAGCAUAUGCGAAGAAUAGCUUUGAGAAUAUGUAUGUUUGCUUGUGGUUACUGCAUAGUUUUUGUUUUGAACAUCUUCUUCUUUAGGCACAUGAAGUAUGUGAAAGAACCUUUGAACUGCAUUUAAGUAGUCAUCUGUCCUUUUUCAUUUUUGAUACAACUUCUUUUCAGUUCUUUGCUUGAAUUUCAUGCCGAACAAUUGCAUAAUUUUUUUGAACUCCCCAUGUAUCAAUUUAUUGUUAUAAUUUCUUGGAGCUAUAGUGAAUUAGAUCAAUUGCAUCUUGAGUCUUGGCAUUGAUCAUGCUUAUUUUCAUAGCAUUGUGGAUAGCUGGUUAACGAAUUAGAUCAAAUGGAGC